GAGGAGCUCGCGGGCUUUCCGGCGGGCUGGCCUGAAGUGGAAGGGCCCAGGGCUGCCUGCCACCCUCAGAUGCCACGCAGGUGUUGGGAGGGCACCCGUCUGUGGGCUCAGGGACGUGUUCCCACCGACAGGCACAGAACGGAAAGCACCUUGGGGGAGACGCCCUUCUCCCCAUCUCAGGAGGGAGGCCGGGCCUGCAGACCUCCAGCCCUUCCCCAGCGCUCGCUGUGAGCUCCCCCCCCCCACCCGCCCCCCACGUGCUGGGGAGCAGGUCCGUUUCCCCACCAGUUUGCCUCUGGUCUUUGUGUUUGCUCUGAGGCCAGGCGCGCCCCCUGCUGCAGGCCUGGGCUCCUGUGUGGAGUUCUCCUUUCAGAUGUUGCUAAAAUGUCUUGAAAGGCUGCGGCCACACCAACAGACGUCGUCCGGCCUUCUUCACACGCAACGAAGCGCCCAGGUGGAAAUGCAUGUACCCGCGGCAGCUUCUCGGCAGCGGGCUUCCUGGGACGGAAGACACAGGCUCGCCCGAGGGAGACGGAAGCAGGGGAUCUGCUAGAACUCAGCUCGCCUCCUCCUUUCUCAGCAGGGCAGAGAAUCAUGGGCUUGUGCUGACGAAAGCUCCAGAAAAUGGACUCAUUUAACCUUUCCAAAGAUAUUAUCCAAGCUGCAAAAUCUUGGCAAUCUGAAGACCUUUUAAGUCGAUAUACCAAAGAGCUUUAGUCAGGAUUGAAUGCAAAAUGCCAAAAUUUCACUUUUAAAAUCAUCGUAACAUCUAAAUACAACCUAAGCACACUUGUAAACUGAUGCCGAACAGGCACUUGGAGAGCCCUCCCUGCACCCCUUCCUCGCCCCCUCCUUUGUGCAAAUGCUGUUUGCCCAGAACUUCAGCCACUGAAAAUCCUGGGAACUUUCUCUUCCUGGCUGCCAACCUAGCAGUUUGGACUCACAGACGAGAUUUUUAAAUCACUGAGGGAUUUAAGCCUCUCUGUGUCACAGAAAAGCGAACACCCUCCCAGUUGAAGGUGGCCCCAAAGAUGCGGGCCUGGGACCCAGGACUUCUGCAGGAGAGUGGACGCCUGGGUGCCCCCCGCCUUGCCCUGCACAUGAAUAACAGAGUACACCAGUCAUCAUAAGAAGAAAAAUUCACAUUUAAAGUUUGGAAAGCAACAGGACAAAGGUCUGUCUUCAGUGGUGCGUAGACAUGCUCGUGAUUGAAUUGGAAAUAGUUCUCUUUCCUUCUCUCUGACUUCCUAACUGAAAAGCUGCAGCGUGGGGAGAAAGGCUGCUCAGAAGCCUGGAGCCAGAACACGCACCCCGGCUUUUGCAGGGCCGGCUCACUUGGUUAGAAUCAAAGGAAAAGCCUUGUUAUUUGGGAAGCUGGGCGUCCUCACCAAAUUAGGGGAUUUAAUUUGCAGAUAUCUAAGGAGUGCUUUGAAAUGAAAGAUGAACUAAAAUCUGCUCUGAGGCCCGUGAUUUUUCACCAGUGAAGGACUCUCUUGCUGCUGGACAUACAUGAAAAGCAUCAUCUGAUCUGAAACGCAAGUCCCUGCAAGACAGAGGAGAGACUUUAUAAACAUUUUAUACCAUUCUAUGAAAUCAAUUCGAUUCAGGGCUAGAAUUCAAGAAGUAAUCCAUGGGCAAGUAUAUCUGAUGGUAAACCCAAACGAUUAUAUUGUUAACCUCUUGUACUUUUUUUAAUUUUUUAUUAUUUGAUAUUAUUAUCACAAAAGUCGCUGGAACAGGAUCCAUGAGCUGCUUCUUCACUGCUUAGUGUUUUCAGAAGCUGAUGGAUUAUUAAGCUCCAAUUGAAUACUUGAUUUCCAAUGAUUCCAUUAAUUUUUCUGGUUUGUGGUAGGAUUUGAUUUACUUAUUUUGUACUUUAACACACCAAUAAAAAAUAGAUACUAAGAAAUAGUGAAAUUUGUUGCUUCAAAAUAACCCUUAAAAUUUAGAGUUUAGUGAAAUUAAGCAAUUCAAAUAGAGAAACGAUUAUCCUUCAUUUCCUUAAGGCACAGAAAUUGAGACUAGGUUCAAGAACCUUCAUAUUUUAAAAACUGGAAAAUACUGGCUAAGUGAGGACUGGGCGGUCAUCCUCCACACAUGCUCUGUGUGCUUGGAGCGAAGAGGGGAACGCACUGAAUGAGAUGAACUGGAAGGAGGUGCAGCAGCGAAGGAAAUCCUUCUGUUGGGAGAGUUCACGUGUUUAGGAUAAUCCUUCGAAUAGGACGCAACAGUGAUGUGAGGAGAAGCUUUGGAGCUGAUUUAGAUUGAGACAGUCUAUCACAGGCUGUUUGGUUGCAUCCCUUUGGGGCCAGUCUCAUUUUAGGUCUAAAUAUGCAGGAAUGGGGCUCUGGCUUCCAGAAGUUUCAGGCUGCAAAAGGCUGGGGCCACCAUCUUUACAGAUAAUCCAUUAGUUUGAUUCUCUUGGGGGCCAGGAAGAAAACCAAGAACACUCAAUGGACUAUGGGACUCAAAUAAUCCACAGGAGGCGUUUGUAAAGGGGCAAAACUGUGUGUGCCCAGUAAUUCUUGGAGCUCGCAAUAGAGGUGGAGAAGCAGUGAUGGGCCCCACAGCAGCAGGGGCUUGGGAAUGACGGAAAAGAACAAAAUGAUGGAAGGACAGCUGGAAGAAACAGGGAAGCUUCCUUUUAACUGGAUGCUGGGUCUCAGCCUUGAAUAGUUCCUGGCCUUCGGAGGCCUUUUCUCAGGGAGCAUGGCCUGGGGACUCCCUGCUUGCUCUGCUGAGCUUUCAGGGAAGGAGAAAUGGGCAAGGCCAGAGGCGACCAUCAGGUGCUCCGUAGGCACAGAGGCAGAACUCAAGGUUUAGCUUUACCUUAAGAGGGUGACUGCAAAGUGUGCUCCCUGGACCAGGGGCCUCGGCCUCACCUGGGAGCUUGCUAAAAAUGCAAGUUGCUCUCACCCAGACUGAAUCUAAAAUUCUGGGUACAGCCCAGCAAUCUCUGCUCACACUUUCUCCAGAUGAUUCUGGUGCAAGCUAACCUUUCAAAAGUCCUGGGUCCCAUUCCCAGAGGCUGUGAUUA
rnacentral:lncRNA from 1 species